AACGCGAAGAACCUUACCAGGCCUUGACAUGCACUAGACCGGCGCUGAAAGGCGCCCUCCCUUCGGGGCUGGUGCACAGGUGCUGCAUGGCUGCCGUCAGCUCGUGUCGUGAGAUGUUGCGUUAAGUCGCGCAACGAGCGCAACCCCUGUCCUUAGUUGCCAUCCCCCAGUUGGGCACUCUAGGGAGACAAACCCUCUUUGAGGGUGGGAAGGUGGGGAUGACGUCAAGUCAGGAUGGCCCUUACGGCCUGGGCUGCACACGUACUACAAUGCCCGGUACAGAGGGACGCAAUACCGCGAGGUGGAGCAAAUCCUCAAAACCGGGCCCAGUUCAGAUUGUAGUCUGCAACUCGACUACAUGAAGUUGGAAUCGCUAGUAAUGGCGCAUCAGCUACGGCGCCGUGAAUACGUUCCCGGGUCUUGUACACACCG
rnacentral:rRNA from 1 species